UUCGAUGAAGCCCUCAAUCGGCAAGAUAUACUUGUUCCUUCCAACGACGAAGGAUGUCCAGGACGUAGUUCACGAGACAUAUUCUAAUGCCGAAAGUUACUCCUAAAUCUUUGAGAUUAAGACCUGACUAUGGCAGCUGCGGCAAGGAGAAAAGGGAGGUCGCCGAGUACUUCAUGGAGAUGACCACCCUCUGGCAGUAGCUUGACCUUAGCAUCGAUGAAGAGUGGGAGUGCUCCAGCGACAGCAUACGUUACAAGCGACUCCUUGAGAAUGAGAGGGUGUUCAAGUUUUUGGCAGGUCUCAAUCGCGACCUGGAUGUUGUACGAGGGAGGAUCCUUGGCCAGCGUCCUCGACCUUCGACUCGGGAGGUCUUCGCAGAGGUGCGGCGUAAGGAGAGUCGCCGCAAGGUUGACAAACUUGACGAGAUCUUCACCUCGUCGUCUGUCGGAUACUGGUUGCUACCCUGCUAAUUUCCAUUAGAGCCGGAGGCUUAGCCCUUUACCCUAUGGCAUUUUGUACUGCGCUUGACAACAAAAGUGAACCCAAAUGGCGCAAGAGUCUUUGCAUUGACAGUUAUCGCUACCUUCAAGAAAAUGUUGGGUGGAAAGUUGGGUUUGGAGGCUUGGAGCCCCUGUAAUUCUCAUGGUCUUUUCUGUUCUCAUGUUCUUAGCGGGCGAAUUAAGGUACUACCAUAACAUCAUUAUAAUGUUCUUCUGAAUUGAUCUUCGCCUGCAUAUUUUAGCAGUUUUAAUAAACUAUUUCAGAGCUCGUCCGUAAAAUUCUGAUUUAAAAACUAUUUUAUUCCUAAGCGUCUAACCCUGCGGCUGUUGUUUGUGUUUAACUACUCGCUAGGAUGACAACUGCAAUUGUUUUCCAAGUUGUUUGUAAAAUUCAAUGCUUAAAAGAUUUCCUCUAUGACAACAUAAGUUUUUUAUUUUGUUUUCUCUAACUGCCCGGUCAGAAUGAAAAUAUAUUAGGAAAAUGAAAUGAAAAUAUGGAGGAAUCAAAUUUUCAUGUUUGGUUAAGAAAGACAAUAAAAUAUAUACAACAAACAAAAAUUAGUUUAUUAGUAUCUUGAUUUUUCUUAAAUAUAUGGGAAAUGAAUUUUCUUCUUAUGUUUCUUUCAUUUUAUUUCUCAAAAAAAUCCUUGAUCCAAAAUAGUCCCUUAGGGUUUAAUUGGAACUUAGAAAAUGUGGGGAAAAUCUAUGCUUGAUUAUUAAGAAAAAUAAGAAUGAAUGGAAUCAAAAGAAAGGGUGGUACUGAAUCAGAAUCCCAGAUUUGUCAUGAUAAGCUGGUUGGUGUAGUUUGCAAAGUGCAACUCUUUUGUAGAUGUCUAAACACAGGCUUGCAUCAUUAGAGAUCCUGCUGAGUGAUUUAAAUCCGGAUGGGUCAGCUUGAAACCCAUGGAGUCCUGGAGCAAGUAGAAUCGCUCAAAGCUAUUAUUAGAGUUCUCCCUAUGUGUCUCUUACGAUACAUCUCAGUGGUUAAUCUUUGAGUCUUUCAUGUUAGAGGUUUCAAGUUGAAUUCUAGAAGGGACAGAAAGCAAUAUGGGAUAGGAGAUGGACUAUUGCAGGCUGUGUUGCAUAAGUGCAGCGUACUUGGUAUGCAAAUAUCAUGACGAUGCUCAUUGUGUUAUUAGACUUCUCCCUAUGUGUCUCGUAGGAGGCAUCUCAGUGAUUAAACUUUGAGGCUUUCAUGUUAGAGGUUUCGAGUUGAAUUCUAGAAGGGGCCAAAAGCAACAUGGGAUAGAAGAUGGACUAUUGCAGGUUGUGUUGCAUAAGCGCAGCCUACUUGGUCUGCAAAUAUCAUGACGAUGCUCAUUGCUAUGCUCCAAGCAAACACCAUGAACAGACACGUUACCUGAAAUUUCCAAAUCCUAGCAAGUGGGUCCUUCAAUGUGGUAAUUAUUGCUACCGUUACACUAUGGGUAGCCUUCCAUGACCAUGUAAUGGUGCCCCAGCUGCUCAGGUACACUGGCCGAGACUACUGGCAACCCAAGUUUUUCAAAUGGGAAUUGUGCUAGCACUCUUGUGCAUGGCAAUGGCACUCUCAGAAAUAUCAGAGUGAACAAGAAGGAAAAUUGGAAAUGAAUAAGGAUUGGAGGAUCAACGAAAGUUGCUACGGACAUGUUGGCAAUGAGGUUCAUGUCACUGCAUGGUUUGGCCAAGGCUUUAAAUUAAUGCAGCUAGGCAGAUAGAGUUCUAUUACUAUCAGUUUCUCAGGAGCAUGUCUAGCUUUGCAAUGACUCUUUUCCUACUAGGGAUGGCUAUGUCUAGCUGGGUGGGCUCUUCUGGUGGAUGUUAAUAGAUUUGCAAGGAAAGGAGGUAGGGAGAGCUGGUUGUCAAGCAACAUUAGCAAGGGUCACAUAUAUUACUAUUACUGGCUAAUUAUUGCUCCAAAGUCAAAUUAAUUUUUCGUCCUUUCUUGUCUUUUGUUGGGCUUGUGAGCUUUUACUGGGCGAAAGGAGUAGAGCUUCAGAUGCAGUUGAAGAAGAGUUUCAAGUAUAAAAACUUACCUUUAGCUUGAUGGGUACCUCUGUUCUUUGUUAAUGGUAUGACAAUUGGAGCAUGUAUAACUGAAAACACUAUUGUAAACUUUCCUCUUCCACUUGAUGAGAAAGGAAGUGCUUGCGUGUUUCUCAUUAUCCCUUAUUGGUUUAUGCAAUCAGUUGCAAGGGAAAGUUAAUUACUCUUAAUUUGAUGGUGGAAAUUGCCCACAAUUUUGUAAAUUGGUGGAAAAUGAUCCAUUUAGCUGACUACACCUAGUGGGAUGUAAGGCUUGGUUUGCUGUUUGUUCUUUGCUUUGUGCUGCAAAUUCUCGUUACUUUUAUGCU